UUCAUGGAUGAGGGGUACUAAGGCAGGACUUUGAGAUGCAGGUGACAAACGUGAAGAAAAAGCCUGCACAGGUAUCAGCAUCUCCAGGGAAGGUGGUACCAGGCAAAGUGGUACCACUUUGCAGGGCACCUGCAGCUGCAAGGUCGCGUCCCCCAGGCGGCAAGCAGGGCCCACAGUGGCUGUAGUGACUGUCCCGGGCAGGGGGGCACCCAGACAGCAGCAUCAAGUGCUCUGUGGCAGCAGCUUGGUCAUCAGCUGGCUUCCUCAGCACAGUUUUGGGCAGCAUUCCUGGGAGCUUUGCCUCUGGUCAGGCCUAGUUCUGUAGUCAUGCCAAUAUCAUUUUAAUAUAUUAAUUCCUUUUCUGCUUAAUCAGGUCAGGACCAGCUUUGGCUGCUUGUGAAGGACUAGUGCUGAGCUCAUGAGCCGCAGGAGGGAGAGAGGCAGGAUACCUGGAAUCAAACUUAAGGAAACCCUUCCCAAGGAGCAGGGCAGAAUGAGCCCCGAUGGUUCCUGGGAAGGGUUCAGUGUCUUUAAUGAAAGAAAUAGAGCACAAGUCUCUUUAGUGGUGAAGAGAAACCAAUCUUUGCCCAUUCCCUCUACACACAGGACACUUGAACAGACCUUAGCCAAUGGCGGUUGAGGUGGGGUGGAAAGACCAGAGGCAAACAGCAAGAGUUUGAUGGACUGCUAGAUACCUGGUGGCAGAUAGUUCUGAGGAAGACUAUCUGAAGACCAUAAUAAGCUGGGGACGAUCCAGUGCCCUGCGCCGAGUGUGAGCCGGUACUGCUCAAUCUUAACAGGAACUAGGGUCAGGUGUCUACAGCCUCUAUAAACUGCUAGAGCAACUCUGCCCUUUGACAUGAACCCACUAUGAUCAAGAUCUGUUGCCUGGGGGAUCCCUGGGUGGCUCAGCGGUGUAGCGCCUGCCUUCGGCCCUGGUCGUGAUCCUGGAGACCCUGGAUCGAGUCCCAUGUCAGGCUCCCUGCAUGGAGCCUGCUUCUCCC